UUUUUUUUUUUUUUUUUUGUCAAACGAUAAAUCUUGUUAGAUUAGAUGUUAAAUUAGUCACCGAUAGAUUUGAACCUGUUGGAAAAUAGUAAUAUUUAGGUUUAUUUUAGUAUUUGAGUUUUGCUUGUUAGUUUAGGAUUUGGACCUAACCCAUCCGAGUUAGGGUUUCUUAGGUUUCGUUCUCUAUAAAUAGAGCUUGUAAUUUAGUUUGAGAAUAAGUUAGUCACAAUGUAGCCUUUUAGGGUUUUGUAGCCGUUUCGGCAUUUUCAGUUUGUUUAAUAAUAUUCUUAUUAUUCUGUUAAUCUUGUUCGUUGUGCACUCUGAUAUUCAACUUGGUAUUAGAGCGGGUUCGAUCCUUAGGGUUCAAUUCUUUCUCGUUGGUAUCAAUUUGUUUGCCUUUGUCGUCGUUCGUUUUAGAUUUGUUAGUUGGUAUUGAUUGUUUGCAAGGAAAAGAAAAAUGAAAGAGAAAAAGAAAAAAAAAAGGUUUUGCUUGCAGUGGAGAAGAUUCCCUAGCAAAUAAAAAAAGGGGACGAAAGAGAGAAGAAAGGAAAAAAAAAAAAAGGAACCACGGAAAGGAAGAAAAAGGAAGGAAAAAAGUAAAAGAAGGAAGGGAAAAAAAAUAUGGCUGUUGUGUUUUAAGGUUUGGGACCCCCGUGAUGCUGCUGUUUAGGCUUGUUUCUGUAGCUUGUUGUUGCCUUCUACAACGAUCGCUCAAAUGCUUGGAUUGAUGAUCAUUCAAGUGACGUUGUGGACAGAGUGAAUUGGAUUUUUUAUUGUUUGUUCGAAAGUUGGAAUAUGCAUUGGCAUUGACAUUGGCAUUGGUAUUAGCAUUGGCAUCAGUAUUGGCAUUGGUAUUGGCAUUGGCAUUGGCAUUGGCACUGGAAUUUGGAGUCUUGCAUCCACAUCUACUUUGGCAAACCCAUGUCGUGUACCGCUAUGAGUUUGACGGGGGGUGUUGGAAAUAUUAGUAUUUAGGUUUAUUUUAGUAUUUGGGUUUUGCUUGUUAGUUUAGGAUUUGGACGUAACCCAUCCGAGUUAGGAUUUCUUAGGUUUGGUUCUUUAUAAAUAGAGCUUGUAAUUUAGUUUGAGAAUAAGUUAGUCACAAUGUAGCCUCUUAGGGUUUUGUAGUUAUUUUGGCAUUCUCAGUUUGUUUAAUAAUAUUCUUAUUAUUAUGUUAAUCUUGUUCGUUGCGCACUCUGAUAUUCAACUGAACCCACGCCGUCAUGCGAGGGCUCAACUUCUUUCCUCCACUAUAGUAAAGAGCCACUUGCGUAGAAAAACGUAUUUGGCUCAACUUGUUUUUCACUUAUCCUUAAAUGUACAACAUAUAAUAAAUACAAAUCAUAAAUUAAUUGCAAAUACACAUCAUUUACUCUUUCUACAAUAAAUCUAAUGUAGAAGAGUGAAUGAACCUAUGUAGAAGAUUUAAUUAGCCUAAUUGUUCAAUGAACCUAAUUAACACUCACCCUUUAGUGGAUGGAAAUUGCGUUAACAGAUUUAUGUAAAGAUGUCUCAAGCCACUUUUGUAGGACAAGGAAGAUGCUUUUUUAACAUUCCCCCUCAAGUUGGAGAGUGAAGGUCGAGAAAUCCCAACUUCGUAUCAUAACCGAGAACUUCUCCUUGCCCAAAGGGUUUUGUAAAAACAUCUACUAAUUGUUGUAAUGACGCCAUAUGUCAAGUAGUGGUUGUGCCAUCAAUUGUUUUGUCUCGAAUAAAAAAUCCAUCUCAAUAUUUCGUGUUCUCUCAUGAAAAGUUGGAUUCACCGGUAUAUGUAACGCCGCUUGAUUAUCACAAUAUAAAAGUGAAGCUUCUAAUUGAGGUAUCUUAAAUCUUCCAAUAAAAAAUUGCAAGCUAAUAGUUAAAGACGAACACUAAUCACAAUCCACGAGACUUGCAGCUUGCUACAAUAAAAAAUAUAUAGUUGUCCAUUUUAGAGAGUAGCAUAACUUACUUAUAAACUCAUGCAAAGUCAAUUCCUCCCAUCAAUGCAAGAUUUAUUCUCAACAUGCCCCCUCACAUGUGACGAAUUUUCAAGUCGAACACGUGGACACAAUGGGGUGACAUGGAGUACAUGUGGCAAUUGGGCUUCACACAUAGGACAACUUACAUACUUUGAUACCAUAAAGAAAAUUGAAGUUCCACCAUAAAAUCAAUUUGCAAUAUUGGGAGCUGCCCAAUUACAUAUAAGCACAUGCAAGGUCCAUUCUUUUUGCGAUGUUGAACUUUACUCUUAGCACACCCCCCACGUGUAUGGACAACACAAAUCGGAUGAUGUGGAGCACUUGUAGCUGUCAAGCAAUCCACAUACGAGACAACUUGCUUUGAUACAUUGAAGAAAAUUGAGGUUCUAUGAUAAAACCAAUCAGCUAUAUGGAGAGCUCAACUUACUUAUAAGUUCAUACAAGGUCCAUUCUCUCAUCAAUGUAAGAUUCAUUCUUAACAAACGUUUAUAAUCAUUUGUGCUCUAUUUAGUAAAAAAUGGCUACAUUUAAUUUUACACUCUGAGUUCAUGGGUUUCAUUCUCCUUAAAUAUUGCGGUUGCGCUCUUUUGCUCUAUAUGCGUCCAAUCCAUUUUCCUAGUGCACCCAACACCUUAAACUAUUUCCACAACUUUAAGGAUAACUGAACAUGCUUGUUUGGGCUUCAAAGUGCCCAAUAAGAAAGAAUCAAGGUAUCCAUUCUGAAAACCAAUUCGACAUUGGCUAGAAUGAAGACUCAAGCAAACAUAGAACUAAAGGGAACCGGAGGUGGGUUUGGAAAUGCAGUGGAAUGGUACACAAAUUUAACUAAACUAGUUCACUUUCGCUAAACUGGUUUGCAUGAUCGAAAUAGCAUUACAGUCAUGUCUUAUAUUAAAUCACGAGAAUAGAUCAAUACUAUACUACAACAAUAACUUGGAAGCUUCAAAAUCAACAUAGAGGGCACAACGAUUUAACAAGGUAAAACUCUACCACUCAGGAAAACGUCCUUGCACACUUUCCUAGUCUAAAAACAAUCUACUAUUAUUCAAACAAAUGUAAGAGAUUGACGCAAACUCAACUUACUAGACUCAACACUAGAAGGUAGUCUCGUCCUCAUGCUCUUGCUACUUGAGUAGUACAAAUUACUUGCUUUCUACUACUUGUCUCCUCUAAGUGGCAGAAAUCUUAACUUGGUUGUGUAACACUUUAGAGAACGAACCAUUAUCGAGGGCGAACCGUUAUCAAGGCUUAGCCCUCCUCAAUCUUCAUGCGUGAAAAUGUAUCCCUUUGUAAACCAGUAGUUAUACUAUAAGAUGCUUAUGCUCAAUUUCCCUAGUUUUGCUAUAAGAUGUUUAUGCUACAAGAUAUGCAAAUGGGCUAGAGAAUAACUAGUGGAUGCAUGGGUAUGAUGGGCUCGUGAAUGUAUUUGCUAGACCUAAAUAUUUGACAACCAAUUAAAACCCCAUUUGACAAAAACCUUCCACCCAAAAAGUAAUCAUGGACAAUGAGUUAAAUCCAAAAUCAAGUUUCAGCUCAAAAUUAAUUUUAAUUUUAAACGCCUCACCACUGUUCCUAAGUCUAAGUAAAUGAAUGAAUACACAUUAGGUGACUAGAGCGUCAUAAGUUUCUUCAACAUGUACGAAACUGUCCCAGGCGGCCAAAAAAAGGGAAACUGCAGCUGCCAGUGAGAACAAGGAUCCUGACUUCAAUCUUGAUUUCGAUCCUAAGACGAUAGACAACUUGAAACCACUACUAAAAAACCUAAUUUUUAGGUGGUGGUCGAUUUGAUGUACUUGGGAGCUUUGUGCCCUACAGCCAAGUUUCUGUGGCUAUUCCAAUUUACAACCUAUAUUAAGCAACAGAUGCUGCAAUUUAACUUUCUGCACCAAAAGAAUACAGAUAUGUUUUCCCUAAUUAUGGCCCAUUUUGGCCAGAAGCUCCAUGUGAUUAUAUGAUCACCCACAUGGCCAAUAUUGUUAUAGGAACAUGUGACAUCUUUAGAGCAUAAAAAUAGUAAAAACUGGCUCUCACGCAUCAUGCGAGCGGCACAUGAGCUUAUAUAUGCGAGACACCCUGUUUCUAGAUUUUUUUUUUCUCUAUGGAAAUCGGUGGUGCCAUAAAUUUAUAAAAGCAUUCAGGCAAAAUAUAGAAACAAUAUUAGAACUACACAAAGGAUAGUUAGGAUUCAUCGUCCGAAACUGGCCAAAGGAGACAUCUUUUAUACAAGAGCAACAACCAACAGAGCAUAUGCUCUUAGACACUUGACUUAUUCAUAGACCCACCACAAAACACAGAAAAAUACACAUGUUUACUUUCACUUCUUAUUCAACAAACCAGACUCCUGCAUUCUAGAAAUUGCCUUCUCAAAUUGGCUCCACCUCUGCUCCAACGUCCCAAUGUACCCGAUCGACAUCCUCACGAGCCCUGGUGAGAUCCCAGCCAGAGCCUUCUCCUCAUCAUUCAUCUCACUGCUUGUGCUGCUUCCAGAGCAGGACAUUAGAGUUUCAUAGUACCCUAGGCUCACAGCCAUGAACCCAAACUGUGUGCAGUUCUGCAAGAGAUUCAUGAGCCUAUUGGCUCUUUCCUCAGUCCCCAUGUCCAAACACAGAAGCCCUCCGUACCCGUAAUCUUUGUUUCUUAUGGCCUUGAGAAGCUCGUGCUGCGGGUGGUCGUCGAGCCCCGGGUAAAUUACUUUUAAGCCCAUCUUCUUCAUCCUUUGGGCAUAAACCAUUGCCCUAUGGCAGUGCUCCUUCAUUCUCAACCCUAGGUGGGGAAUCCUCUCAGAGAGCUCAAAUGCCACCUUGGCAUUCAUUGUGGGACCCAAGAGCAUUAGGGAGCCUUGGUGUAGAUCCAUCAUUGAGUUCACCAGGCUUGCAGGUCCGCACACAACACCUGUAAAAAAUUUAUGCCACAAAAAAGUUUAGUAUUUUGUUGCUAAUCACAAAAGCUACUUUCCAAAGAGAAAAUAAGAAAGGGUUUAACAAAUAAUGAGAAAUCAUGUUAGCUGGAAAUGGUUGGACGGUCUAGUGGAAUCUCUUCACUUUUUGCAGAUAAUAGAUUUAUACAUAAAUCAUUAAGAACUUAUAUAUUAAAUGACGAAAUGAAGGAUCAAAACAUAUUUAUCUUGAUCUGAAAUUGUCAAAGAGUUAGAAUUGUAGAAGUUUUAAUUCUCAAGCCAAAAAAUAGACGACGCAUUAAAAAAAGUGAUUAAAUAUUAAACUAAUAUGACUAGAUACACAAAAAUUGAUAGAAUGUGAAUAUAACAUCUAUAUAUAUAAAGUGAGUGAUAAAAAGGUGAAACAUUCACAAUACCAAAAAUUGUCCUUCAAGAAUUCUAAAAUUACAAUUGAACCAUAAGAAUUUAAAGUAAUUCACCACAUUUUAAUUUUGAAUGAAUUUUAAAUUUAAAACUUUAAUUAAAAGAAAACUACCAUGUUAGUGGAUGGUUUUAUGGUUUUGCUUAAAUUUUUUUUCUGAAUAAUUUUUUAAUAAAAAUAUAAAAUAGUUACUUAAAAAAAAAAAACAUAAUCUAAUAUAAAAAGGUUAAUUGCCACACGCUAAUGCGUAUGGCAAGAUGCUAGUCUUAGAUUAUGUGAUGAUGACAUUAGUACUUAAAUUAUGGUUCUCUUUUAUUGGAAUUAAUAUUUUUUGCUUCACCUUUUCUUUUAAUUUUUGUACAGAACAUCACAUGGAAUCUUGCAGUGAACAUGGAAAAUAACAGUGAAAAAUCAAAUCAAGGAUCGUAUAAGAUAUUGUAGUAAGAAGAAUACAAUUCCUACCUCAACUCACCCAUGUUAAUCAUGAAGUAAGGUUGCAGAUGGAAAACGACACCAAACAAACAGUGUCCAACAAAAACACAAGCAAACAUAAACGUAUGGUAUCUAAAAAUAACACAAGCUAACAAAAACGAACAGAAACACCUGUCUUGCUAUCUAAAUAUAACAAGACAUGAAUCACGAGUCACAAAAGUAACACCCUCGCAUGAAUCCAAACCGGUCCCUCCCCCACCCUCGCUAAAAGUAUUACUCUCCCGGCCCAUACUUUUUUUCGGUCUGAACUCCCCAUGCUUUUAUUAUAUAACCUAUAAUGUAAUCGAUUUACUAUCGACCGCCUAAUUAAUAUGCCAUUGUUAUUAAAAAAAAAAAAAAAAACUGAUUAAUUUUACAACUAAAUGUCAAAAACGAAUCAUUCCAAUUAUUUAUCCUAAAUUUUUUUCUAUAGAUUAAAAGUACUUAACACGCAUUUACCUAAAAUCGCUAAAUUAUGAUCUUACACUCAGUCUCUUCGUGAGCGUUAUUAGAUUUCAUUUUUAUAAACAUCUUUAGAUCACAUUUUUUAUGUUAUACUGCACGUUACCAAUCCAAUCAUAUAAUUGACGAUAUACUGUCAUAUUCAAUAAUUUUCGAACCGCAGAAGGUAAAGAAAAUCUCACAAGCCAACUAUAAGGAAAAUAUUUACUACUUUUACCUGCAAUAAUAUCAGCACCGCCGCUAAUAAACUUGGAAAUGCUGUGAACAACAACGUCAGCACCAAGCCUCACCGGAGAGAGAACCAUGGGAGAAAACGUGUUGUCCACCACAACCGUGACCCCCUUCUCGUGGCCGAUACGGCUGAGCUCCGGUAUGUUGGCGACGGUGAGAGUUGGGUUCGACAUGCCUUCGAAAUAGAGUACCUUGGUCUUCCCGACCUCAAUAGCAUUCCUCACCAUGUCCAUGUCGUUGAUGUCCACAAACGUCGUCGUUAUGUUGCAUGCCCUGGGGAAGAAGUGGGACAUGAGGGCGUGGGUCCCUCCGUAGACGGUUCUUGAGGCUACGAUGUGCUCCCCGCUGCUGACGAGCUGG
rnacentral:lncRNA from 1 species